rnacentral:rRNA from 1 species
GCAACCCGCCUGCGUGAAGUUGGAAUCGCUAGUAAUCGCGGAUCAGCAUGCCGCGGUGAAUACGUUCCCGGGCCUUGUACACACCGCCCGUCACACCAUGAGAGUCGGGAACACCCGAAGUCCGUAGCCUAACCGCAAGGGGGNGCGGCCGAAGGUGGGUUCGAUAAUUGGGGUGAAGUCGUAACAAGGUAAC